UCACAAUUUGUCAACCGUUGUAGCGUAUCGGAUGCCGCAGUCUGGGACGUCUGUAUGUCAUCACAAUUUGUCAACCGUUGUAGUGCGUCGGGUUGCACAGUCUGGGACGUCUGUAUGUCAUCACAAUUUGUCAACCGUUGUAAAGUCUGUUGUAGCGUAGUCGGGUGCUGCAGUCUGGGACGUCUGUACGUCAUUACAGCGUGUCAACAGUUGGAGCAUAGUUGGAUGCUGAAGUCUGGGACGUCUGUAUGUCAUCACAGUAGGUACAUCUGUAUGUCAUCACAGUAGGUACAUCUGUAUGUCAUCACUGUAGGUACAUCUGUAUGUCAUCACUGUAG